UUUUUUUUUUUUUUUUUUUUUUUUUUAAGAGGAUUAAUUGGACAGAUUUUCAAUCUAGCCUGUUAAGGAAACUGGGGCAAGUUCUAUUUGCUUUCUGCCAUCAGUAAUUCCUUGUGGUUACUGGAGCUGAUUAUCUGGAGAGAAGCACUAAAUGUAAAAUAACUGAGUCAUAGCAAAAUGUGUGUGCUCUGUGGACAAAUGCAGUGAAAACUGUUGGGGGUACGUUUGAGUGGGAAAAGGACAGUACUUGCAUGGUGUUGUCAAUGCAUUUCCUACGUGGCAUUUGGGGAAGCUGAUUCUUACUCUGCUGAAGCUGUAGUGAUGCUCUGGUUGGCUAUGGCAGUGCUUGGGAGAAAACUGAAGACUUAAAUUCUUCAGAAAUCUGUGAAAGGAUUCUCAGUUUGAGAAACAUAGGUUGAAGGAUUUUCUGCAUGUUUUGCUGUGUGUAUUGAUUUCCUGCUCUGCAGUUAAAAUAUGAAAUGUGAGGUAAUUUCCUAGUUACAUGGAGUAUUGGACUAAAUCCAGAGGGGGUCAGAUGGCUGCCAGUGGAGCAGAGCUGGUGUGUACUGUAACAUGUGGCUUGUUCUGUGCAGAGACAGGCAGGUAAGCGAUCUGGUGGAGUGACUUAGGAGAAGAGGGGUCAAGGGAGUGGAUUAAAACCAGCAGCUCUGCUUCUGACUUGUGCCACUUGGGGCAAAUCACUUCAACUUGGAGUGAAAUACUGUUUUCAUUAAUUCAGACAUAAACUUCUCUUCGUUUCAGUAGAAUGUGUUUUCCUCCUCUGCUCUUUCUUGUCUUUUCUUUCAGAUAUAAGACACAGGUGGGGAAAAUAAAACGGUAUCAUAUUGAAUAUCAUCAAUGUUAUUACAAUGCUGCCAACAGAGAAGCAAGCAAAUAAAACCUGUUACUGCAUGUAUUACAGGUUUUCCUUAUACUGAUGCUUUCCUUGGUUAUUGAACAAGUUUGCAUCUUCUCAUUUCCAUAUUUUAAAAUCUGUUGUUUUGAGGACAUUUUAUUGACUUGAUACAUUUUAAAACAUAUGGUUUCUGCCAAAUUUGCCUGUGGUGUUUGCGCAUCUGACAUUACUGGGCUUGAGUGACUCUUUGGUCCACUGGAAGAAACCCCACCCAGCAAUUGAAAUGGUCUUAGGAAAUACAAGUAGAAAAUUACUUAAUGCUGUAAAUACAUUAUUUAUCUUGCCAACCAUCAGAAAAAGUCCAUUUCAAUACACUGUAAUCUCUACAGUUAUCUAGAUUAUGACAUGCUAAACAAUUGUCCUGUGUUCGACAAAUUAAAGCAUACCCAAUAAAUGGCUGUUGAAGAUGGUGGUGAAUAAUUGCUGGUGGUGAAGGGUGGACUUUUCCCCUAAAUCUUAGAGCAGCUUGUAUGAAUUUAUAAAUAAAGCUCUUCCUUCCCUGCUCUCUGCCCAGCCUGCAGUGCACUCUGUGCAAGUCCAAUUGGUCUUUCUUCUGCUGUUACAUGUCUGGUUUUAGGCUGUAGCUGGAGUUUACAGCAUGCAAAAGUGCUUUUAAUUUUUCACAGAGUUGGAAGAACAGGUAGAAAGGAGAAGUUUCAGGUACCAGUGUCAAAGUUUUUAGAGUGAAAAGAAAGAUAAUUAUUACCAAGGAAUGAAGCCAUUGUUUAAUUUUCCAUAAUCUGAUUACUUUCAGUCACUACUAGGUAUGGCCUGAUUUAAACAAGCCACAUAAUAUUGAGCAAUUAUGUAUAGGAUUCUUCAGUGUAUGCUAAACAUUAAUUGUCAUAUUUGGAAUGAAACAAUGGGAUCAUUGCUUGUACACCAGAGGAGAAUGCCAGCAGUUUGUAUUUCAGCAUGAGAAUAUGAUGGGAAUUGGUCCAUUGCUAAUGAAAGAAGUGGGCAGAAUUCUAGUUUUAAUAAAAGGCUCCUAAGGACCUUCUCUCACUUCUUGUUUUUUUCAACUUCAAAGAAAAACUUCUUUGCUAAGAAUAUUUAUUUGAACUUAAUCUUAUUUUUAACAUAAAGUUAAAAUCAACACAUUUCUAACAAAAGGUAGAAUGCAGUGUCAUUAUAUAUUUCAUUAUAAGUAAUUAAUUGUAUUAUAGCUGAAAUGUGUGUUUAUUUCAGAGACUGAGUAUGUGACAAGGAGGAAAAAUAGUGUCCAAGAAACUUCUUAGAAGGCAGAACAAGGUCUCAUCCUCUGCCUCUUUUUCCCAGCACACUUUCUGUGGUUCAUUAAGGCAGCUGCUUUCCUAUAACCAUGGCUAUACAGAAAAACAGAAGCAGCUUCAAAUGCUUCUGGGCAAAAGCAAAGCUGUGAAUUUUGUAGAUUAUUGAGACCCUUAGUUAGAGACCCAUCACUUUCUCACUUUGUUGGUUGUAGACAUUUGAGUAAAGAAUAAAUUAUUAUUUAAUAUGCACAUGUGGCUGUUGUGCAUGCUGUGGUCUCUGUCCAUGGGCUUACUGCAGCUGGCUGCUGCAAAGACACCUCCACCACAUGUGGCACCACCUGAGUCUGAGUUCAGAACUGAGGUUUCUGUAAAGGGCUUUCAAGCAAUAAAGUGUUUUCUUUCCAAGUGCUUCUUGGGAGUACUAUCUCCUGAGGAGGACUGUGCUGAAAAUCUGUGUGGUGUCUGUAACUCUCAUCUUGGGAAAGGGUUUAAAGUAUUCCCCCAUUCCUAGUGGUGUUUAAAUGGUUUUUGCCUUCAACUGUGUCAUCUGGAGAGAAAAUAUGUGUAAGUAUGUCUUACUAUGCUCUGUGACAAAAGUAGAAAAGUACAUCCUACUCAGGUGAGGUUUUCUAUAUUUUUUUGUAGGGGAAUGAAAUUAGUGUCUCUGUAUUUUUUUCUAAUUUAAAGAUUAAUCCCUUUCGACUGUUAAAGUAGUACUUCACAGAGAAAAGCUUGGUAUUUUUGAAUCCAAGUCCUGAGUUUUGGAGCUGUGUUUUAUAUAAGUAUUCUUCAUUUCAGACAAUGACUAUCAUAUAGCCAUCUAUUGGACUAAGUGUGCAGCAAUCUUGUGCAAUGCUGGAGUUCUUUGAUGUGCAAGCUUUAAGAAUAAGAGAUUAACCUCACUCUCUGGUACAUGAAGAGAUUUAUUUUUUAUCUUUUUAUGAAACCUAAUCCAGAAGUCAUUAAAGUCUAUUGAAACCAUCCUAUUUACUUCAAUGUGAAUUGAAUGAGGAACAUGGUUUUUGUGGUCCGGUGUUUAAAAAAAACCCAAAACAACAAAAACUUUGCAGUAAAGUCAUAAUUGCAUCCACAUGAGUUUCUCAAAGUGGUUAUGAAGCAGCUGAUGGAAACUCCUUAACAUGACCAAAUUCAGCAUGCCACUUGUUUCUGUGUGUGGGAAAAUCCGACACAAUCUGGAGGUAAUUAGUCUGGAACCAGCAGCAGCAUUCUCUGAGCAAUCCUUUAAGAAUGAGUUGCAAAUAAAAAGGUAGAAAAUCCCUAAUAAUAGGUGUAUUAUCUGUUGUGUGUUGUGGAAGGUGUUUUUAUCAGUAACAUUACUUACAGUUUUUAAAAUGUGUUUUUGACUUGCAUCAUGCUGUAUGUGCAGCAUACUGUAAUAAUGGUUGCUUCCUAUAGUUUAGUUUUUUCUGUUCUUCUGUGCAUUACAAAGUGUUCUAUGCCAAAACCUCUUUUUUCAUUAACAGCUGGGACAGUAGAUUGAAAUUUAUAAGCAAUACUAGUUUGGUGAUGUAAACACAGGAGCCUUUGCUAUGGACAAUUUUCUGUACUCUGGCUGGGUCCUCUUGUGUAUUGGUACUGAGGAAGUAAGACCUUUGAGUAAGAUACUUAAGAAUAAAACUAAGAACAAACCCAUUUAAACAGAGGAAUGGAGAUUAGUGCACACAUGAUGUUCAGCUUUGGGUUUAUUCCUAGUAGUGCUGCUCUGCCUGUGAUGAUUCAUUCCCAAGUGCAGCCAUCUCAGGGCAGAGCAUCAUCCUGCCUCUGAUGCUGCUCAGUAGCAGCUCUUUAAGGAAGACAAUUAAAAAAGACAGUAAGCUAGUAAAAGCCCACCAGAAUUAUAUUCCCAUCUUCAAAAAUGGGCUAUAAAUGUAUCUCCCCAAUUUAAGUGGAAUUACUUGUGCUGUUUCAAGUAAGGGAAAUAUGAAGGCAGUGUGGCCCUUUAUCUUUUCUUCCAUGAGGUCAGUGCUGAGCUACUGAGCUGUUACUGCUUGACCAGAGACCCUGAAAAAAUGGGAUGGAGCAAAAUAGAGAAGAAACGAAAAAACUUGAAUAUCUGAUUUUUUUGAGAGGCAGCAUGUACAAGUAUGGAAGCAUUCUUUGGUAUGGCUUUUAAAACAGCAAUAGUACACAUGAGGUGGUUUUCUUAAUGUGAAACGGGAAGAGGAAACAAAAGAGAAAUUUCAGAAAAAUGUACUGAUUGAAAACCAGCAUGACAUAAUAUACUCUCUAGCUUCUGAAACAGAGAAACAAAAUGAACUUUUUCAAUUCUGUUAUGACUAACUGAACUGUAAUGCAAUAUAGUAAAUCUCUCAGUAUUAUGUAAUGAAAAUUAGUCAAAAGAUGACAAAAGCAUAAACGAUACAUUAAUGAAAAAGCCUUGCAGGACUUGUAUUUAAAUUGGAUUGUGCCUGUUUGAUUUAUGGUGGUGUGUAAGUACACUUGGCUCAAGUGUUUGUGGAAGCAUGGACAGUAGCCUUUUAUUCUAUGUUUACUGUUCCUUUUCACUGUUUGCCUUUUUUUAUCAUUUGGAAAUACAUUACUAAAUAUUACAACAGCAUUGUCAUUUAUAGGUAGUGGGAAUAGAUAGGUCUGUUGUGCAGUCAGAGAAUAUAAUUAGGAAGAAGCAAAAAGCCUUAUUUUACUGCAGCAUGGUAAAUGGUAGAAUUGCUAGAUUGUCUUGAGCUCACUUGGCUCAGCUUAGAUGCACAUAAAACCCACCAGCAGCAAGCUUUUCACUCAAGCAGUAUCAAUGCAUUUUAAGAGGAAGCACUCCCUUGGUUUCAUUUAGAUUGCAGGCCAGCUCUGCAUGUGUUAAUAUUUCAGAUAGAAAAAUAUAUUCAAAUACCAUUUUUUUGCAACAUAAUUUGUAUGGUACCUCUACUGAUGCUGUGAGUUUAAGGAUGGUGGUGACUCUUUAUUCAUGCAUAACAUGCAUAAGCCUGCAAGCUGUGCAGACCCUGUUAGCAGCUUUUAAAACAGCCCCCUGAAUCAGUUAUGGAGGUGAAUAUCUAAUUUAUUGCUGUGAAAAAUGAGAGGAAACAGAGGUGGCUCUUCAAGUUCCAAAUCAAUUCCUUUCUUUCUGUCUGAGCCUUAUUUCUGCUCCCUGCUCCUCUCUGCUGAUGGAAGCACCCCUUGAUGCUUUAUCAGUAUAUUGUUUUCAGCUGCAGCAUGCAAACACUGUCAGUGUUUUCCUAUCCAAAGACUCUAGAGCAUAGCUCUUCCCUGUUUCCAUUCAACAACAACAUGUGUUUGAAACGUCUGUCUUGAACAAAAAGAAUGCACAGAUAUGGGAAGCUGCUCUCUAGCACAAAUUGUAAAGAAAGUAGCAUAAUGCUGUGGGAAGGAAUAAUGUAAUGCAUUAAAAUUGAGCUUUUCUUUGUAAAAUGAAAUAAGUUUAAAUGAGAUAAAGAAAAGAAUUGAAUAUAAGCAAACAUGAUGCUAAGUGCUCUGGAAUGAAAUAGCAUGGACUGGGGGCUCAGAUAUGUUCCUGCUUUCACAGUCCUGUUUGUUUCCAGCACUAUUCCUGGAUCGAUUCCUGCUUUGCACUCCAGCCAGCCAGGAGGCUCUGUGCUGUAGUAACAGAGGGAUUAGGACUGCACCCUUUUCCCUGGUGGUGUGGGAGGUCUGUCAUCACAUCAUCUGUUGUGGAAAGCACAUCUCUCCUGUCUCUAGGGCUGCAUCUUCUAUGGAGCAAAUCCCUGACUGGCUGUUGGGUGCUCUCAGGCCUGCAGGAGGAUCUUGUGUCCCAGCUGGUUGGAGCGGUGUGAUGUGCUGGAUGGCAUGGCAUGGCAUGGCAUGGCAUGGCACGGUGGGAUGUGCCAGUUGGUGUGGUUUGGGGUGCUGGACAGCAUGCCCUGGCACAGCCUGUCCUCGUGUCACCUGCCACCUGCAAGGCGUUACCUGAGUGGGAGCGGGUGGGAGGCAGCAUCUGUCUGACAAGGCUUUCUUGAGUGCUGCAGGGAUGAGGUAAUGUGGCAGGGUUUAAUGGGAUGCACGUGACUCAGCUCGCUGAUCCCAAUACUCUGAUUUAUGUGCUGAUGGAUCUGACAGGCACCCUGUCUCCUUUGAGCCCUCCAGCCCGGCCUGCUAUGGAGAUGCAACGAGGUAACGCUCAUCCCGUUGUGGUUUCAGUCCACCCACACGCACCAUAUGCAUAAUUUUUCCAUAAAGGAUGACUGUGGGGAUAUAUAUCUCAAUUUAAGACUGUUGCAUGUACUCUUUAUUUUUCACAUAUGACUGUUUAGCAAUAUAAUUUAUCUAACUAAAACUAGUUGUUGAACACCCAAGCAAAGCUAAUGGUUGCAUUGAUGGAACGCAUCAUGUCGUGCUUAUUUAACAAGAGUCCUGAUACCUGCCAUCUUAGUUUUCUGUUUCUCAGUUCCACUAGAUAUCUUGUGUUUGCUUUUACAGCAAACAUAAUGCUUUUACAGGAAUUAAUUACAGGACUUAAUUAAAUACAUAAAUGCUUACAGGAAUUUUUGAUAAGUAUGAGGAUAUUGUUUGCAUUCCAAGUUAAAGAUAAUGGUCGGCUUUUCAGAAGGGCUCAUUGUUGGGUGACUCUCAUUUAAGUUGGUGGUAAAUCCUUCGUUAGUAUCAAAACGAGUACAGUUAAGGGAGCACACAAGCAGUUUUGGAAAUGUUCUAAGAAGUUGUCUGCUUGCAGGACUGACAGGAUAACAAGCUCAUUGCUUCUGUUACAAUGCUAGAAUUUGGCUAUUUGCAUAAUACAGAGCAGUAACAAUUCAAUUUAUAAUUCAUGAAUAAGCAUUUCAAAUAGUGGUUUCAGACAUGACUGAAGUUUGUGAAUGCUUCUCAAAUAAAUUGAAGGUUUUGAGCACAUUUUGUUUAUAUUUGGAAGCUGAAAUUAUACUCAGAUGCCCAAGCCUGAAAACAGAAUGUAAUUUGGCGUUCCUGUGUAAAUGCUUCCUGAACAAGGGGAAACACUGAUACAAUUGGGUGUUUAGUUGUGCAUGUAAUAGAUACUAACUUGGUCAUUCUGUACUUGCAUUGUAAACUUGCUGGUUUUGUUAAUUGGUUGGCUAUAAAGAGAAAAGGCAGUUUAGAGGGACUCAGGAUAAACUUUUUUAGUUUUUUAAUCAAUAUUUACAGGUAGUGCUAGUACCAAAGAAGCCCUGCUUGUUUUACAGCUGUGAUAAACCCUGCUAGGUUUGAAAAGACCUUCUGUUUACUUAUGUGCUUCUCAUAGCUGAACAAUUUUGCUGGAAUUUUCCCCUUGCUUGCUGUGCUGGUCUUUCGGUUUAAAGUGUGAUAAAUCACAAGGUGGGGCCUGGGAAGCGUUUGGUGGUGGUGAUCCUGGGCUGCAAGAACGUGUCUCCCAGCCACAGGAUUGUGGUGUUCUUCCAUGCCAAGGGAGCUGUGUGAAGAUGAAUGUAGGAGUAGUGGCAGAUGUGCUGACUGAAGAGCUGCAUCAGGAGAUGCAGAGCUGAGAGAGAGAUAGACAGUGAAGUCUGAUGUCUGUGAUAAACAUGAUAAAAAUUUGCUGAGGAGCAGCUUGGAUUACAAAGAACUUUCUCCCUCUUUCAUGUCUCACAAUAAUUAAAUGGUCCAUUUUUAUUCAACUUGUUUCAAAUGGGGUUCUAAUUAAGCAAUAACUAAUGAAAUAUGAGAUUAAGCAUCAGCAGAUCUGUGGUGGGCAGAGACGUGCCCAGGGCAAAGUUUAAAACAGUUUUGUAAAACUUGUGUUUGAAACAAAGCAAAAAUAUUUAUUACUGAAGCAAGAGUCAGAUUCUGUGAGUGUAAAUGCAGAUUGAAUUAAUUUUCUUAGUGUUAUGGGGAACUGAAAGAACAUAAAAUUUAAUAUGUAUUCCUUUUAAUGUGGUUGCGAUAUCAUCACCGCAAAUUUAAAAAAAAUGGGUUUGUAACCAGAUAAGAAGAUGCUAUCAGGCACUUCUAAUUUUAAUUAAGGUUCAGCCUAUUGCAGGGAUAUAUAUUUAAAGAAUUAAUUAAAAUGCUGUUCACUGUAUAAGAGAUAUCAGUAUAGGAAAUUAGCUAAUUGCAGUAUCAUAGGGGAUCUGUGCUUUGCAAGCUGUUUUGUGAUGAAAGCAUCUUUAUGUGGAUGAGAGGGACAUCUUGAGAGGAACCAGGAGAUGAUGACAAUGACCUUCUUUCUGGGUUAGUUGGAGUAAAAGUGGUCACUGGGCUUGCUGCAUCUGUGCAAGUCAAACAGUGUUCAGUUUUUGUUUUUCUUUGGGGUGGGUGGCUGGCACAAAUACUCAAAAUACUUGAGAUAAUUGGACAUAAUUUGAUUGCAUCAUGGUAAUCCUGUCUCCUGCAAGAAGGGCUUUUGAGAUGGUUAAGAUACCUUUAAAGACUUGGACUCUUUCAAUGCUGUCAUUCUUGAUAACCUUUUUAUCGCUGCAAGUUUGAGCGAAGGUACUGCUGGAGCUCCUCAAAGAUCAAAUCGUGCUUUAUUUAAUAUUUUCAUUAGCAGCCUUUACAGAAGAAUUAAAAGCUUGCUAAAUAAAUUUGCCAACUCCAAAGCUGAGAGACACUAGCAAGGCGGGGGAGGACUGGAUUAUUAAGUGAGAAGAAUUGCUUUCCUCUGCCAUUAAUUGGUUUCAGGAGAAUGGUGUGUGCUUAAGGAUGGAUGAUAUGAAUUCCUUCUGUAAGCUCAACAUCACCAUUUGGGAGCAGUAAAGAAUGAAAGUGUCCUAUCUGUACUUAGGAAGAUGAGUUUAAACAGCCACAGGUCAAGGAAGGGAAAUUAGGAUAGUGGUAGAAGGAUCAGCCAGCAUUUUACCAGUGGCCUGGAAGAGCUUGGCUUCAGCCUAGAAAAAGAUGAGCUGAGGGGAACUAGGAUUGUUUUCCAUACGUUUAUGGUAGGAAAAAGUCCCAAGCAAACCACAAUUAUUUAAGCUAAAGGAUGGCUUUAGAAGGCUGCAUGGGGUGUGAAUAGGGACUCCCACUUCAUCUGGCAGGCAGGUGAUUUCUCACCCUUUUUGGUGCUUCCAUGGGCAGGGUGCCUUGAGCAUUUGCUAGUUUUGGCAAACUCCAAGGUGAAGUGUUGGAAGUGUCUCCCCCACAGAGCACAUUUAUUGGGAGAUUGCUUUAAAUGAUUCCUUUGAAAAGAAAGAACAAAGCUUUUAGGAAGAAGUACUUAAAAAGGGAACUUAAUGCAUAGACAGCCCUGUCUUUAAGAAUUUAGUGCUGCUCUUGGUGGGUGUGUGGAUGCGCCAGACGUCUUCCAACACCUCUGAGUAGGUGCCAGUCUGUCAGAUUAGCUCAACUAAAAUAAACCUUUCUCCCACUCCCUGCCUGCUACCAGCCCUUUGAGAGAGAAUUGCCUUUUAAAAUGUACUGGGGUAUUCACUGGGCUUUUCUUCUGCGGUUUUAAGCUAGUUUUGAAAUGAGCAGAGAAGAGGUGAAAAAUGUUGGAGGCUUUUAACACUGUCAUUUAAUGAUCUCAUCAUCUGAGCCUGUUUGUGGAGAGGUGGCUUAUCUUGAGCUGUUCUCUCCUUUCCUUGCCUGUUUUCCACGAGAAUGUCUCCUAUUGUGUUAAGCCAAUAACCCUUAUUAAUAGGUCAGUGUAGAGUAUUAAUGAGCUUUUACACUGUGGUUAUAAAUGUCACACUUGUUUCUAACAGUAGGAGUGGGAAAUAGAAAAUAUUCCCUGGAUUUGUUCUCUUAUUUUCAACAGUAUAAAACAGUUGAUCUGAUUAAAAAAAAAAAAAAAAAAAAAAAAAA
ensembl:lncRNA